CUUUUUAUUAAGUUUUUAUUUAAUUGAGCAUUGAAGAGACAAAACCCAGACCCAUAUCCAGACACAAAAGACAACUACAGGAUGAUAGUUUGCAGUGAAUAGAUCUGCUGAUUUUUUUGUUAUUUUUUAUUUCGGUUAAUAAUCUAAAUUUAUUAUUAUUAUUAUUGUUAUUAUUAUUAUUAAUUAUAAAUAAUAAAUCUAGUCGUAACAAUGGCAACUGCAGUCGAUGAACAAAUUUCAGUUGAUCUACCAGACGAUAAAGAACAUCUAUACGAGCCUGUUACUUAUAAUUGGGUAGACAUUACUUCUGAAUUCUUUGAUGCCAUUAAAAGUUUAGAACUGGGCGAGCUGCUUCAUGAUGAAUUAUUCGGAUUAUUUGAAGCGAUGUCAGCAAUUGAAAUAAUGGAUCCUAAAAUGGAUGCAGGGAUGCUUUGUAAUCGUGGUAACAAUCAGUUUUAUACAUUCGAACAAGCUGUUGAAUCAGGAGCAAUAAGACUCGAUAAUUUAACACCAUCAGAAGUGAUAGGUAUCAUUGAUUCAACGUACGCGUGUAUUGUGUCCUGGCUUGAAGGUCAUAAUUUAGCACAAACUGUAUUUACAAACUUAUAUCUUCAUCAGCCUGCAUACAUUGUCGACAAGCCGCUGAAGACAUUCUGCUACGCAGUCUACCAAAUUAUCGAAGUUAUUAAAAAUUCAAUAAAUCGCGCGAUGGUUUUUGAGGAAGAAGACUUUCAGAGUAUUACUUAUGGCUAUAAAUUACACUUGGAAGUUACUGAGAGCAAAACAUUAUCGAUGCUGAAGGAAGUUGAGGAUGAGUUGCAUCGCAAGAGCAGAAUAAAGCCCGUAAAUGAAGAAACCGAGAAAGAAUAUAACGAUGGGCUGGCGCUGUAUGCCAGGAUAAGAUUCACCAAGACCUUUUUCUUAGCGCUGUCGCUGAUGGGUAAAAAGGACAACGUGGCCCAGAACUUGGGAGACAUUCAAAGACUGCUGUCCAACUGCACAGACAUGAUUCAAGUGAUGAUCAGAACUGUCAGCAGAGGCGAGAAGGCUGACGAGGCGUCAAAUCACCCGACGAUAAUGGGGUUCGACCCGAUGGUGAACCAGCGGCUGCUGCCCCCAACUUUUCCGCGGUACACUAAAAUAAAACCACGGACUGAAGCGCUAGAAUACAUGGAAGAGUUGAUAAAUAGAUUGAAGACAGUGACUAAAGUAACGAGUUGCACGGGUUUCCACAGUGCGCUCGAUUUCUUCUUGGAAUUUUCCCGACAGAAUCCGUGUAUUUUAUCGAGAUCAAUGCUGCAGAUUAUUUAUUUACCUGGCGGUAACCGAGUAUUUGGUGCGCACAAUUUUACAGAUAUUUUAAAAGACGCGGCUAAAAAUUUCACUGCUCCGCCCGCGUUGCUGCCCAAGAGCACGCUGCUGCAGAACCACCAGGCGCGCGAGUGCGUCGAGACUUUUUUCUAUCACUGCACGACGCUGUUCAAUAGUUUGCUCCAGCUGAGUGGUCACAACAGAGCACGACAGAGAGACAAGUUGGCCCAUAUGCUAGAAGACUUUGCGACUCUCCAUGACGAGGCUGAGCGAGUCGACCGUCAUCUGAACACGCUGUCGCUGAAGAACGACACGUCGAGGUCUCAUCUCGCUUGCUUCGGCACUUGGCUACUCUAUCACACAGUCCGUGUGAUGGUGAUGUAUCUUCUCAGUGGGUUUGAACUCGAGCUGUACUCAGUCCACGAGUAUCACUACAUCUUUUGGUACCUGAAUCAUUUCCUUUAUGGGUGGCUGGUCUCGGCGCUAACGCGGGCCGAUUCCUUUCUCAUGGAACAGGACAUUCACAGUGAGAUGCACAAAGGACGGGGCGGUAAAAAAAGUGCUAAGAAUAAAAAAAAAAAAGUAACACCACGUCCUUACAGUUUGGAGAUGCUCAUGUAUCAAGUACUGCAGAACAUAUGCGGCGGUUACUUCAAAGCUUUAGUUGGGUUACGUAUGGAUGGCAAAAUACCUCUGCCUGAAAAAGAGUUUGACUCUGAACGUGUUAGAUAUAAACAUAGAUUAUUAUCCCCUUUUUCGUCGUUACUUUUACCUCCGGCGGCUAAUUAUGAAAAGUUUCUAGAUAUCACUAGCACGCAUCCGCAUAAAAAUAAUGAAGACAUUACCAGUGAAUUGCAUUAUACAGCAGCAUGUAGACAUUUUCAUCGAGCUAAAAACAUGCUCGACUAUGCGCUGUCGUUAUGCCAGGAUAGAAAUUCAAGUUCUGCUAAUGAGAUAAAUGAUUUAUUAAAAGUAACCAAGACAAAUUUCAUUGUCGUAAAGCUGCUAGCUGAUGGUCACAAAAAAGACUCCAAAGAACCGCCAAUAUUUGAUUUCACGUGUCAUCAACAUUUUCCAAUAAUAAAACUCGUGUGAAGUAAUUAUUAAUAAAUUUAUAUAUAUAUAUAUAAAUAAAUAGAUAUCUCAUCGUCCUUCAUCUUUGUUUUAUCAGCAAGGCUACAGCAAUAUUGUCUAAAAAAAGUACUAAAGUAAUCGGAAAUCACGCGCUUAUGUAUCAAAUCAAAAUUUAUUAAGCGCGACACUGCGGUAUUAAUAAUUGUUGAUUAAAUGAAACAAAACAAAAAAAGUUAAUUAAUUAUUAAAUAUAAAUAACAACAGCAAUUACAAAUAACAAUAAAAUUCUCUAUAAAUAUUUAAAAUGUAAA